rnacentral:rRNA from 1 species
AUUGAACGCUGGCGGCAGGCUUAACACAUGCAAGUCGAACGAGUGGCGGACGGGUGAGUAAUGCAUGGGAAUCUAGCUGAUGGAGGGGGAUAACUACGGGAAACGGUAGCUAAUACCGCGUACCAUAGGAUGAGCCCAAGUGGGAUUAGGUAGUUGGUGGGGUAAAGGCUCACCAAGCCGACGAUCUCUAGCUGGUCUGAGAGGAUGACCAGCCACACUGGGACUGAGACACGGUCCAGACUCCUACGGGAGGCAGCAGUGGGGAAUAUUGCGCAAUGGGGGCAACCUGAUGCAGCCAUGCCGCGUGUAUGAAGAAGGCCUUCGGGUUGUAAAGUACUUUCGGUAGCGAGGCGUUAACUACAGAAGAAGCACCGGCUAACUCCGUGCCAGCAGCCGCGGUAAUUC